AUUGAACGCUGGCGGCAGGCCUAACACAUGCAAGUCGAACGAGUGGCGGACGGGUGAGUAAUGUCUGGGAAACUGCCUGAUGGAGGGGGAUAACUACUGGAAACGGUAGCUAAUACCGCAUACCAUCAGAUGUGCCCAGAUGGGAUUAGCUUGUAGGUGGGGUAACGGCUCACCUAGGCGACGAUCCCUAGCUGGUCUGAGCGGAUGACCAGCCACACUGGAACUGAGACACGGUCCAGACGCCGACGGGAGGAAGCAGUGGGGAAUAUUGCACAAUGGGCGCAAGCCUGAUGCAGCCAUGCCGCGUGUAUGAAGAAGGCCUUCGGGUUGUAAAGUACUUUCAGCGGGGAGGCGUUACUCGCAGAAGAAGCACCGGCUAACUCCGUGCCAGCAGCCGCGGUAAUAC
rnacentral:rRNA from 1 species